rnacentral:rRNA from 1 species
GGGUUGUGAGGUUAAGCGACUAAGCGUACACGGUGGAUGCCCUGGCAGUCAGAGGCGAUGAAGGACGUGCUAAUCUGCGAAAAGCGUCGGUAAGGUGAUAUGAACCGUUACAGCCGGCGAUGUCCGAAUGGGGAAACCCAGUGCAAUUCGUUGCACUAUCGUUAACUGAAUACAUAGGUUAACGAGGCGAACCGGGGGAACUGAAACAUCUAAGUACCCCGAGGAAAAGAAAUCAACCGAGAUUCCCCCAGUAGCGGCGAGCGAACGGGGAGCAGCCCAGAGUCUGAAUCAGCUUGUGUGUUAGUGGAACGGUCUGGAAAGUCCGACGGUACAGGGUGAUAGUCCCGUACACCAAAAUGCACAGGCUGUGAACUCGAAGAGUAGGGCGGGACACGUGGUAUCCUGUCUGAAUAUGGGGGGACCAUCCUCCAAGGCUAAAUACUCCUGACUGACCGAUAGUGAACCAGUACCGUGAGGGAAAGGCGAAAAGAACCCCGGCGAGGGGAGUGAAAAAGAACCUGAAACCGUGUACGUACAAGCAGUGGGAGCACCUUCGGGUGUGACUGCGUACCUUUUGUAUAAUGGGUCAGCGACUUAUAUUCUGUAGCAAGGUUAACCGUAUAGGGGAGCCGCAGGGAAACCGAGUCUUAACUGGGCGUUAAGUUGCAGGGUAUAGACCCGAAACCCGGUGAUCUAGCCAUGGGCAGGUUGAAGGUUGGGUAACACUAACUGGAGGACCGAACCGACUAAUGUUGAAAAAUUAGCGGAUGACUUGUGGCUGGGGGUGAAAGGCCAAUCAAACCGGGAGAUAGCUGGUUCUCCCCGAAAGCUAUUUAGGUAGCGCCUCGUGAAUUCAUCUUCGGGGGUAGAGCACUGUUUCGGCUAGGGGGUCAUCCCGACUUACCAACCCGAUGCAAACUACGAAUACCGAAGAAUGUUAUCACGGGAGACACACGGCGGGUGCUAACGUCCGUCGUGAAGAGGGAAACAACCCAGACCGCCAGCUAAGGUCCCAAAGUCAUGGUUAAGUGGGAAACGAUGUGGGAAGGCACAGACAGCCAGGAUGUUGGCUUAGAAGCAGCCAUCAUUUAAAGAAAGCGUAAUAGCUCACUGGUCGAGUCGGCCUGCGCGGAAGAUGUAACGGGGCUAAACCAUGCACCGAAGCUGCGGCAGCGACACUAUGUGUUGUUGGGUAGGGGAGCGUUCUGUAAGCCUGCGAAGGUGUGCUGUGAGGCAUGCUGGAGGUAUCAGAAGUGCGAAUGCUGACAUAAGUAACGAUAAAGCGGGUGAAAAGCCCGCUCGCCGGAAGACCAAGGGUUCCUGUCCAACGUUAAUCGGGGCAGGGUGAGUCGACCCCUAAGGCGAGGCCGAAAGGCGUAGUCGAUGGGAAACAGGUUAAUAUUCCUGUACUUGGUGUUACUGCGAAGGGGGGACGGAGAAGGCUAUGUUAGCCGGGCGACGGUUGUCCCGGUUUAAGCAUGUAGGCUGGUUAUCCAGGCAAAUCCGGAUAAUCAAGGCUGAGGUGUGAUGACGAGGCACUACGGUGCUGAAGUAACAAAUGCCCUGCUUCCAGGAAAAGCCUCUAAGCAUCAGGUAACAUCAAAUCGUACCCCAAACCGACACAGGUGGUCAGGUAGAGAAUACCAAGGCGCUUGAGAGAACUCGGGUGAAGGAACUAGGCAAAAUGGUGCCGUAACUUCGGGAGAAGGCACGCUGGUGUGUAGGUGAAGUCCCUGCGGAUGGAGCUGAGACCAGUCGAAGAUACCAGCUGGCUGCAACUGUUUAUUAAAAACACAGCACUGUGCAAACACGAAAGUGGACGUAUACGGUGUGACGCCUGCCCGGUGCCGGAAGGUUAAUUGAUGGGGUUAUCCGUAAGGAGAAGCUCUUGAUCGAAGCCCCGGUAAACGGCGGCCGUAACUAUAACGGUCCUAAGGUAGCGAAAUUCCUUGUCGGGUAAGUUCCGACCUGCACGAAUGGCGUAAUGAUGGCCAGGCUGUCUCCACCCGAGACUCAGUGAAAUUGAACUCGCUGUGAAGAUGCAGUGUACCCGCGGCAAGACGGAAAGACCCCGUGAACCUUUACUAUAGCUUGACACUGAACAUUGAGCCUUGAUGUGUAGGAUAGGUGGGAGGCUUUGAAGCGUGGACGCCAGUCUGCGUGGAGCCAACCUUGAAAUACCACCCUUUAAUGUUUGAUGUUCUAACGUUGGCCCCUGACCGGGGUUGCGGACAGUGUCUGGUGGGUAGUUUGACUGGGGCGGUCUCCUCCCAAAGCGUAACGGAGGAGCACGAAGGUUAGCUAAUCCUGGUCGGACAUCAGGAGGUUAGUGCAAUGGCAUAAGCUAGCUUGACUGCGAGCGUGACGGCGCGAGCAGGUGCGAAAGCAGGUCAUAGUGAUCCGGUGGUUCUGAAUGGAAGGGCCAUCGCUCAACGGAUAAAAGGUACUCCGGGGAUAACAGGCUGAUACCGCCCAAGAGUUCAUAUCGACGGCGGUGUUUGGCACCUCGAUGUCGGCUCAUCACAUCCUGGGGCUGAAGUAGGUCCCAAGGGUAUGGCUGUUCGCCAUUUAAAGUGGUACGCGAGCUGGGUUUAGAACGUCGUGAGACAGUUCGGUCCCUAUCUGCCGUGGGCGCUGGAGAAUUGAGGGGGGCUGCUCCUAGUACGAGAGGACCGGAGUGGACGCAUCACUGGUGUUCGGGUUGUCAUGCCAAUGGCACUGCCCGGUAGCUAAAUGCGGAAGAGAUAAGUGCUGAAAGCAUCUAAGCACGAAACUUGCCCCGAGAUGAGUUCUCCCUGAGACUUUAAGUCUCCUGAAGGAACGUUGAAGACGACGACGUUGAUAGGCCGGGUGUGUAAGCGCAGCGAUGCGUUGAGCUAACCGGUACUAAUGAACCGUGAGGCUUAACCUUACAACGCCGAAG